UGCGUAGGCGGCGAUAGAAGUCGGGUGUGAAAGCCCGGAGCUCAACUCCGGAACUGCACUCGAAACUUUGUUGCUGGAGGUCGGAAGAGGAGAGUGGAAUACCCAGUGUAGAGGUGAAAUUCGUAGAUAUUGGGUGGAACACCAGUGGCGAAAGCGGCUCUCUGGUCCGUACCUGACGCUGAGGCGCGAAAGCGUGGGGAGCAAACAGGAUUAGAUACCCUGGUAGUCC
rnacentral:rRNA from 1 species